rnacentral:rRNA from 1 species
UACGGGGGGGGCAAGCGUUGUUCGGAAUUACUGGGCGUAAAGGGCUCGUAGGUGGCCAACUAAGUCAUACGUGAAAUCCCUCGGCUUAACCGGGGAACUGCGUCUGAUACUGGAUGGCUUGAGGUUGGGAGAGGGAUGCGGAAUUCCAGGUGUAGCGGUGAAAUGCGUAGAUAUCUGGAGGAACACCGGUGGCGAAGGCGGCAUCCUGGACCAAUUCUGACACUGAGGAGCGAAAGCCAGGGGAGCCAACGGG